UGUCAGCUGUCUAGCGCGUAUUUUUAAAAACAAGAAUCCAUCGCUUUACACUAUCCACUGAGUUUUGACGUAGGGGGUUUAUACAUAAAAAUACUUAUUUCUGAAGCACGUUAAAUAAUUCGUCAACAUCUUUGCUUUAUUUUCGGGUUGGAUUCUGAAAAAAAUGUGACGCAGUUAGCUUUGUUUGUAUCGUUAGCUUGUAGCCGCCGAAACUCCAGUAUUCGGUGUCCUCUGAUUAAGGAAAAUGUAUAUUAUUUGUAGCAUGUUUUUGUAAGAUGAGACACAUAUGUAAUAGUUUAUUGUUGGUUUUGAUAAGUUAAUUCUAAUAUUUUGAGUUUUUUUCUACCGAGAAAACACUGCUAGCUAACAAGCUAACGUCCACUAAUGGAGGACAGCCAGUCUUCUUCUUCGCUAGUUCUUCCUCCACCACAAGCGUCUUUUCUUCAGAGGACGUUGGAGCGAUUAUCGUCCACACAGUGCCUGAGAUUCGGAUGUGACCAGGGGGAAGCUGUCGCUGUCGUGGCAUUGCAGAGAUACCUGUCAGAGCGAGCGGAUGGACCCGAUGAACUGCUUCACAACUACAGUUACGACGUGACCCUGACAGACGGGGUCUGGCGGGUCAAAUGCUUUCUUCACGCCAGCUUAAGCAACCUGGUGCACACCAACACACUGCGGACAGGGAUGGACAUCUUCAUCUCCCAGUGCUGCUUUGUCUUUAGUGAAAGGAUGUUGGGACACGGUUACAUUUGCAUCGAAAAGCUCCGGUGUGGCGCAGGAAGCUCAGCGGUUCUCCCCAACAUAAACGACGUCAGCUUGUUGCCCAUGCUGGUCAGGCAUGGCAUGGAGAGGAGCGUGCUGCUCCACAAAGAUGUUCCUCUCCAGGUAAGCCGGAAACAUUAUCUCCCACUGUGGAACAAUGAUGACCCGGAAGGGGACAUGUGGAUCUCAGGAGCCUCCUCAUCAGAUGCUGUGCUGGAUGUUUCCAAAAUGAUGCUCAUUAGCACUUUGGAGUCUUCAUUCGGACACACCCUGAAUUAUCUCCCUCUUCUGGUGAAGAUCAUACACAAAUCCAGACUCCGGUAUUAUGGAAAGUUUGGAGUCAAGAAAGAUUGCCCCUACCUGGCGUACUUCGAAGUAGCUGACCAGAGCGGCACCAUGUCGCUUGUGCUUUGGGACGAACUCUGUCCGGAGUUUUACGAGCGACUGAACGUUGGCACGGUGCUGUACCUCCAAAACUACAAACUGAAGCAAAGUUAUGCGAAACGAUCGCGACCACAGAUGGAUCACUACAGAAUGAAACACUGUAACUCUGUAGAAAUCAGCCUGAAUCCUCGUGAUCCAUCUUCAAUCUUCACUGUGGUCUCACCAAAGAGUGUCCAGCCUCAGUGGGGUCUGCCUGAUGUCUCUUACCGGUUCACCAGCAGGUCAGAGUUGGACAAGCUAGCGGAUAAUUUUGCCUGUGACAUCAUUGGUUUGGUAACAUUUGUUGGCCGUGUCGAAAGAGUCAGAAGUAAAGCUUUAGAAAGGUACUGGACAUACCGCUGGGUUCAUGCAGUGGACGGAACAUCUGAUCACCCGUUUAUCCUGGAGCUUUUUUCUUCAUCUCAACCUGAAAUCUUCAACAACAUUUGUCCCAUGACGUACCUGGUCUGCACCCAGAUGAGGGUCUGCAAUGUGACGGGCUCUCAGCCCUACCUGACGAGCAGCUGUGAGACGGAGAUGUUCAUCACAGGAUACCACAAAGGUCAACCAUACGUGAGCGACCCCAGAGUGAAAAACUUCAUCCAAUGGACCAAAACUCUAAAGGACAACGCCGUUCUACAAAAGACGGCUGUUGGAGGCCAUUAUUCAUACCCUCAUUCUCCACCAAUGUUCGUGCAGUCAGCAGCAGGUCAAGUUCCUCUCAUUGCUGCAGCUGACCUGAAGAGGGAGCUAGAGACCUUGCAGUAUAGAGAACAUAAAAGACAUGCCUUUCAGGGACAAAUUACAGCAGUUCAAUAUUUAAGAAGCCCAAAGACAUCAGGAGUGGAAGAAACAGAGCAGGUUUCAGAAAAUGAUGAUGCUGAUUCACACAGUUCUCCCUCACAGAGAUUACCAUCUCCAUCAUCUGCUGGGACUUCAGCUACUUCAAGGAAAAGGAAAAUUCAAAUGAGCAGGCUUGGAUGCAAAAAGACAAAUGAAAAAGAGCAGGAGGAGGAAGAGGCGAACUCUGCAUCAGAAGUUCAACUCCAGGAACACAGCUGUGGUCAUAAUCCGGGUCAAGCAGUGUCCAGUGCUCUGUCCUGGGAAGGCAGCAGCUGGCCAAAGCAACACCAGGAACUGACUGAGCAUUUGUGUCAAGGCGGCCUGCACCAGGACAGCAUCCGUCGCAGGUUCACAUUCGAUGAGAAGAAUGUUCUCCUGCAGUGGAGCAACCUGCAGCCGUCACGGUGGACGUCCAAACAAAGCACAGAGCCUGUCCCACCUGCGCUUUGUUCCGGGUAUUACCAGCUAACCAUCCUGGGCAUCAACAAGCAGAUUGCCGUCGAUGCUGCUUUUCUCCCGGUGGUUUCCUCCAAUGACCCACAGGCCGUCAGCCUUCCUCAGGGUUUACACGACAACACCAUGCUGUCUUGCCUCUCCUCGGGUUUCCUUUGCCCUCUCACGGGCACAGACGAUAGCGAAGAAAGAUCUCUACCUGAGCCAGAGGAGAUCUUGGAGACCGCCACUGAGCUGGAGGAUAUGCAUGUGGUGUGCAUCUUGGACCUUUGUCAUUUAGGUGAAGAUAAAUUGGAAGUCCUAAUCAACAAGGUGUACAAAGUGACAGAGGUUUCACUUGAUUAAAGACAAUCCAACGACAAAACAUACAACCCAAGACUCUGGUGGCUCGCCCUCUCUCCUCUCAAGAAAAGCGCGACAGAAACACAGGAUUAAGACAGAGUAAGAGCAGAGAGGCCGCUCAGCGGGACACUCACUGUCAAGGAAGUCGGCGGCAACGGGGUCAGUCAUCAGCAUGUGGGAUGAUAGCAGCUUAUACACCUCCCCGUGUUCCCUCUCCGGGAGGAAAUUCAAGAUAUUUUGGUCCACCAUAUCUGACUGAAGCAACAAAGCAAAUGAAUGAGGGUACAAGACGUAGGAACAGCAAGGUCGCCGAGUUGACCGUGAACUGCUGCAACACUAGAGUAUUGGAGAUUGAAAUGUAAGGCCAUCUGUCCAAAAGCUGAAACUGCGCUGAAAGUGGGUCAUGCAGCAGGACAAUCCAGCAAACGGCAGCAGAAUGACAGAGAAAGGAAACAAUCAAGGUGUUGCAAUGACCCAGUCAAAGUCCAGACUUCAACCCCUGGGAAACGCGGAGCUGGGACAAAAAACUCAACUGGGCCUUCACACCAAGACCCUCAAGCAUCAAUGAACUGAACCAAGAGUGCCAAAAGUAAAAUAAAAUAACUAAUUGUUUUUUUCUAAAACUGGAUCUGUUGAAUCCUAACUUUUGCUCAACUUGUCACACGCUGUUUUGGAAUUAAUUUUGUUGAAUAAAGUAUUUGUGGUGGACAAAAACCAUCUGUAACACA